GCAAGUCGAACGGUAACAGGCAAAGCUUGCUUUGCGCUGACGAGUGGCGGACGGGUGAGUAACGCGUGGGAACCUGCCUUAUAGUUUGGGAUAGCCCGGAGAAAUCCGGUUUAAUACCGAAUAAGCCCUAUGGGGGAAAGCUUGGGAUCUUCGGACCAGGCGCUAUUAGAGGGGCCCGCGUAAGAUUAGCUUGUUGGUGAGGUAAUGGCUCACCAAGGCGACGAUCAGUAGCUGGUCUGAGAGGAUGGAC
rnacentral:rRNA from 1 species